rnacentral:misc_RNA from 1 species
AUACUUGUUUAUUCCAAGGAAGAACCUCACAGAACAGUACAAAUAUAUGAUGUCUUAACCAUCUCAGAUAGUGAAUCAGACAACAAAGUGCUUACUUUGACAUCAAUUUAACUCGGGGAAACCCUGAAUUUAUCUACUCCAAGGAGAGUACAGGAGUUUCGGGUUCAUGGUCUGCAGGAGAAAGCUGUAUUUGGCAAUCUUAUCUGCUAUUCAGCAUAAAACGACAGAAUCUCCUAGGGACCCUGAAUAAAUACCCUCAGAGGAAUACCUAGUUAUACUCAACUGAAAAUUAUCAUUUCCGCAGACACGUCAAUACAGAUUAAGCCAUUCAUCUUGCAAAACAUAGU